rnacentral:rRNA from 1 species
CCAUGCUACUACCCCGAACAAGCCUGAUCCUGUCUGAUCUCGGAAGCUAAGCAGGGUUGGGCCUGCUUAGUACUUGCAUGGCAGACCAUCUAGGAAGACCAGGUGCAUAAA